GGUUUAAGUUUGUCUUAAAAUAAGAGAAAAAUUAAAGCUAAGGGAAGGAAGAAAAAAAUCCCGCGUUUGAUACCCAAAAUUUGUCAUCUUCCCUUUUGCUUUGCUCGAUCUUCUUCUCUCUACUGUCUGAGCUCUGCAAUGUUAUCAAGCAGUUUAUGGGAAAUUCCUUCUUCGUCUGCCAUUUUGUACAUCUUUCUGACUCUCUUCUCAUUCCUUAUUUCCAUUUCAUUCGCUUGCUUUAAUGGAAAUUGCCAGGUUUUGGAAGCUUGUACGGCUGCUACGGAUUGUGGGUCAGGUCUCUAUUGUGGGAAUUGCCCUGCUUCUGGCAAGAACCAACCUGUUUGUACUAGAGGCCAAGCAAUCGUUCCCACUUCUGUUAUUAAUGGGUUGCCAUUCAACAAGUACACUUGGUUAGUGACUCAUAACUCGUUCAGUAUUGUUGAUGCUCCGCAAUUGGAUGGAGUUCAGAGAUUGACGUUUUACAAUCAAGAGGAUACUGUAACUAAUCAAUUAAGAAAUGGAGUGAGGGGACUGAUGCUGGAUAUGUAUGAUUUCCAAAACGAUAUCUGGCUCUGCCAUUCAUUCAGGGGACAAUGUUUCAACUUCACUGCUUUUCAACCAGCAAUUAACACAUUAAGAGAAGUGGAAGCAUUCUUAACUGAGAACCCAACUGAAAUUGUGACCAUUAUAAUUGAAGACUAUGUGCAUACUCCAAAGGGGUUGAUAACUUUAUUCACCAAUGCUGGGCUGGACAAAUACUGGUUUCCAGUGUCCAAGAUGCCAAAGAAGGGAGAAGAUUGGCCUACAGUCACUGACAUGGUGCAACAGAAUCAUCGGCUUCUUGUUUUCUCAUCCAUCGCAUCAAAGGAAGCCGAGGAAGGAAUUGCUUACCAGUGGAAGUACAUGUUGGAAAACGAACCUGGUGAUCCUGGAGUUGUACCUGGUUCAUGCCCAAACCGAAGAGAAUCGAAACCACUGAGAUCAAGGAGUUCUUCUCUGUUCCUUCAGAAUUACUUCCCUACAUAUCCAGUGGAAGCUGAGGCUUGCAAGGAGCAUGCCAAUCCACUUUUUAAUAUGAUCUCCACAUGCUAUAAAGCAUCUGGGAUCUUGCCAAACUUUUUGGCUGUUAAUUUUUACAUGAGAAGUGAAGGCGGAGGAGUCUUCGAUGCUUUGGAUAAGAUUAAUGGCCAGACGCUAUGUGGGUGUAGCACACUUGCUGCCUGCCAGGCUGGAGCUCCUCCCGGUACUUGCAAGAGUAUUCCAGCACCUAACACUGGCUCAAUGAGCAGUACCUCUGGCAGCUUUACCGGGUCUGUUCAAUUCUCGAAAUCAUCAGCUUCGAGAGUCCAUUCGCCGAAUCUCUUGGUCCUAUGGCUUUUCUACUUACCAUUGUUGGCAUUCUUAAAAACGACAAUCAACACUCAUCUAAUUGGAUUUUGAGCAAGUAUUCAUGGAGGUUAAUGUAGUAUAUUGUAUGUAAAGAUUGAGUCAUACCUGAUGUGCAUCCCGGCCAUCUUAUAGAGAUUAUUAGAGUGAUAGACUCUAACAUUAAAGGAAACAUAUUUUGAGAUUUUCAUCCAGGGAAGGUAAGUUGUUGCGGAGUUACAGGAGGAUCCAAAACCGAAAUAGAUCGAGCAUAUGACACGAGCUAGUUCAGGUUUCCUUGGAGGCAAAAUGAAACAAUGAGUGGGUGUAAGGCAAUCAUCUCUCUUAUGGAUUAUAUUGAAGACUUCUUUAUAUACUUUUGUUUGUUCUGAUUUGCUUCCUAUCUUAAUUGGAUAAUUGUCUCACUCAAUUCAUUAUACCACCAUUCAUCUUUGCCUAA